AUGCGCAUGUCUGCCUUUGAAUAUGAAGUCUGGAUUAUGCUUCUUGCUUUCCCUAUGGAUUAUCAGACUGAGCAUUACAUUCAUAAGUCUGUCUCUAAUUUUGGUACACUGCUUGUCUGGCCGCGCCCAGGACAAAACAAAGCCCGUGUUCUAGUUAAAUGUCAUAUCAAAGAUGUUGCUGAAGCUCCACACAGUCUUUUGGUCACUCGAGUUGGUCCGCUGCCUGGACUUGGCCGCGCUUGGUCUGUCCCAGUCUAUGUGCUUAAUGGCAGAAACACCAUCCCUGAUCUGGUUGGCACGGAGGAAGCUCCUCCCCUCCUUAAUGCAUCCCCGCACCUGUAUCAGCUC
rnacentral:rRNA from 1 species